CACCACCACCACGUGGCAUCGAAGCCUUUGGGAGACUAUCCCAAAGACACAGACUAGCCCCAGUGCCGGCGGAAGUCUUGUAAUCAGUUUAGUUACACGACAAAAUCCAGAUCAGAGAGAAGAUUAGAAUAUGUGGAUGCUUUGAACUUCACUCUGGUAGCACCUCCCCAAGCGAACAAAGAAUGCCUGAGGUAUUCACCGUGACACAAACACAUCCCUACCCUGGCUUCCCUGAAGCGAGGAGACCCACAGCCGGCCGGGUGAUCAGUUGGCAUCCCAAAUUGCCUCCCCGCAGCGUUCCACUCAGGUCUCCCAGAGGAGAAAUGGACCAUGUUGCAGCCCGCUGCUCCCGGAAUGGCAAGCAUCCGACAGGCUGCCCUACUCAGCGGUCCCCAGGACUCGGCAGACUGCAAGGGAGGCGAAGCUCUGUACUUGUGCUCACCAAGUUAGAGUCACUGCUGGGGAGGUGGCCCCCAGGCUUGCAUGGAAGUGCCCUUCUCACUCAGCGAGGCUUGACAGCAUGGAAAUUCUACCCUUCCUUCAGUGUGGCCUCUGAAGUUAGGAACUCCUGGUUAACAUCUGCCCUGUGACCUCACCCUGUCGCAAUGACUCCAUUAAACUGAGUCAUUUAGU